CCUACGGGGGGCAGCAGUGAGGAAUAUUGGUCAAUGGGCGCGAGCCUGAACCAGCCAAGUCGCGUGAGGGAAGACGGUCCUAUGGAUUGUAAACCUCUUUUUUCGGGGAGAAAAAGACGCCACGCGUGGCGUUCCGAGAGUACCCGAAGAAAAAGCAUCGGCUAACUCCGUGCCAGCAGCCGCGGUAAUAGGGAGGAUGCAAGCGUUAUCCGGAUUUAUUGGGUUAAAAGGGUGCGCAGGCGGAAGAUCAAGUCAGCGGGAAAAUUGAGAGGCUCAACCUCUUCGAGCCGUUGAAACUGGUUUUCUUGAGUGAGUGAGAAGCAUGCGGAAUGCGUGGUGUAGCGGUGAAAUGCAUAGAUAUCACGCAGAACUCCGAUUGCGAAGGCAGCAUACCGGCGCUCAACUGACGCUCAUGCACGAAAGUGUGGGUAUCGAACAGGAUUAGAUACCCUGGUAGUC
rnacentral:rRNA from 1 species